ACAAGUUACAUCAUAAUUUAUGCAUUAUUUCUCAUAAAUCUCAUAAAACCGUCAAGGUUGGGAGGUGGUUGUGUUGGCGGUGGUGGAAAUGAAGCUUGUUCAUCACCACUUCCGGGUGAAGUUGCUUCCUCAGCAAGUUCUGCAAUCAUUUCUUCAUACGCCUCAUCUAUUUCUGGUUAUGAUUCUGCUAUGCCAAAGUUCCUUCUUUCUGCGCGGAUCCAAUCUCGAAAAAGCACU
rnacentral:lncRNA from 1 species